AAAUCAAAUGUUGGGUGCACCAGCAAUAGUGUAGGUGCACCUAACAACACCGCUCCGAAAAGGCCCGUGAUCAAGCACGGUUUAAACUUUAUAAAAGUCCUUUAGGUUUAGGGUUUACAGCUUCUUCUUCGCAUUGUGACCUUUCGCUUAUUCUGCCAACAUCGUCGAUCGUUUCAUCUCUGACCACUGCCAUCGGUUACGACUAUCUCUUCGCGGUGUGACCCUUCGCGCAUUCUGAAAAGGAAUUUAUUUUCAUUCUUUUGUUGUCCGAGUUGUAAGGUAAAUAGUUGUUAUGCAGUUAAGCUAUGCUGUAUCUUUUGUCUGAGUUCUACUUCAACCAGUUCUUGUAAAUCUGCUAUUUUUCAUUCAUAGUUGUGACUUUAUUUGACAUUUUAUAGCAAUUCCUAAUCUAUGUUGAAAGCAGUGCCACAUGUAAAGCCUGCAGUGGAUGUAUUUGUUAUCAAUACUUUAAUAGCAUACAAAUCUCUUUCUGAUCCUGUGUCUUUUAAAUAUGGCCAUCCUCAGAUUAUUCAACAAUGUACAUUUCCGAUGGAAAUUUUCUAUUCAGGUGGUGUUUACGCUGUGUGACUGUAUUUCA